UCUUCCGUGGCGCAAUUGGCUAGCGCGUCUGACUGUUAUUCGGGUUUCGCACCUGUUUAGCAUCUAUCAGGAGGUUGACAGUUCAAGCCUGUCCGGGAGAG